rnacentral:rRNA from 1 species
GAUGAACGCUGGCGGCGUGCCUAAUACAUGCAAGUCGAGCGAACAGACGAGGAGCUUGCUCCUCUGACGUUAGCGGCGGACGGGUGAGUAACACGUGGAUAACCUACCUAUAAGACUGGGAUAACUUCGGGAAACCGGAGCUAAUACCGGAUAAUAUAUUGAACCGCAUGGUUCAAUAGUGAAAGACGGUUUUGCUGUCACUUAUAGAUGGAUCCGCGCCGCAUUAGCUAGUUGGUAAGGUAACGGCUUACCAAGGCAACGAUGCGUAGCCGACCUGAGAGGGUGAUCGGCCACACGGGAACUGAGCAACGGUCCAGACUCCUACGGGAGGCAGAGGUAGGGAAUCUUCCGCAAUGGGCGAAAGCCUGACGGAGCAACGCCGCGUGAGUGAUGAAGGUCUUCGGAUCGUAAAACUCUGUUAUUAGGGAAGAACAAAUGUGUAAGUAACUAUGCACGUCUUGACGGUACCUAAGCAGAAAGCCACGGCUAACUACGU